CAGCAGCCACGGUAAAACGAAGGGUGCAAGCGUUACUCGGAAUUACUGGGCGUAAAGCGUGCGUAGGUGGUUGUUUAAGUCUGCUGUGAAAGCCCUGGGCUCAACCUGGGAAUUGCAGUGGAUACUGGGCAACUAGAGUAAGGUAGAGGAUAGUGGAAUUUCCGGUGUAGCAGUGAAAUGCGUAGAGAUCGGAAGGAACAUCUGUGGCGAAGGCGACUAUCUGGGCCAUUACUGACACUGAGGCACGAAAGCGUGGGGAGCAAACAGGAUUAGAUACCCCUGUAGUCCCUGUCUCUUAUAC
rnacentral:rRNA from 1 species